GGGGUUGUAGCUCAGUGGUAGAGCACUUGCCUCUUACGUGUGAGGUCCUGGGUUUAAUUCUCAGCACCA
rnacentral:tRNA from 1 species